UAGAAUUGGUUUACCCGAUUUUUCAUAAUUUAUUAACCACACGUCGUGUUUUAAUUUUGAUUACACUUUCGCAUUUGGUAGCUGCCAGCCCAUAAAUAUGGAUCAUGCUUAUUGUGUUAAAAAACUCACAAAAAACAUAAAUAUUGUCAUGUUCCAUAAUUUAAAACAAUGUAAGAUAUUAACUUUUUUCUACUAAAUUUACAAACUAUAUUCUCUGUGUAAAAAUAUUCAAAAUUAUUAUUUGAUUUUCAUUCAACAGUUAAUACCAAGAGGAUGUGACUUUCUACACUUUUCCUAA